rnacentral:rRNA from 1 species
AUUGAACGCUGGCGACAGGCCUAACACAUGCAAGUCGAGCGGAUGAAGGGAGCUUGCUCCUGGAUUCAGCGGCGGACGGGUGAGUAAUGCCUAGGAAUCUGCCUGGUAGUGGGGGAUAACGUCCGGAAACGGGCGCUAAUACCGCAUACGUCCUGAGGGAGAAAGUGGGGGAUCUUCGGACCUCACGCUAUCAGAUGAGCCUAGGUCGGAUUAGCUAGUUGGUGGGGUAAAGGCCUACCAAGGCGACGAUCCGUAACUGGUCUGAGAGGAUGAUCAGUCACACUGGAACUGAGACACGGUCCAGACUCCUACGGGAGGCAGCAGCGGGGAAUAUUGGACAAUGGGCGAAAGCCUGAUCCAGCCAUGCCGCGUGUGUGAAGAAGGUCUUCGGAUUGUAAAGCACUUUAAGUUGGGAGGAAGGGCAGUAAGUUAAUACCUUGCUGUUUUGACGUUACCAACAGAAUAAGCACCGGCUAACUUCGUG